rnacentral:rRNA from 1 species
NNNNNNNNNNNNNNNNNNNNNNNNNNNNNNNNNNNNNNNNNNNNNNNNNNNNNNNNNNNNNNACAACGAUAUGCUUUGGGGAGCUGUAAGUAAGCUUUGAUCCAGAGAUUUCCGAAUGGGGAAACCCAGCAUGAGUUAUGUCAUGUUAUCGAUAUGUGAAUACAUAGCAUAUCAGAAGGCACACCCGGAGAACUGAAACAUCUUAGUACCCGGAGGAAGAGAAAGAAAAUUCGAUUCCCUUAGUAGCGGCGAGCGAAACGGGAAGAGCCCAAACCAACAAGCUUGCUUGUUGGGGUUGUAGGACACUCUAUACGGAGUUACAAAGGACGACAUUAGACGAAUCAUCUGGAAAGAUGAAUCAAAGAAGGUAAUAAUCCUGUAGUCGAAAAUGUUGUCUCUCUUGAGUGGAUCCUGAGUACGACGGAGCACGUGAAAUUCCGUCGGAAUCUGGGAGGACCAUCUCCUAAGGCUAAAUACUCUCUAGUGACCGAUAGUGAACCAGUACCGUGAGGGAAAGGUGAAAAGCACCCCGGAAGGGGAGUGAAAUAGAACCUGAAACCGUGUGCUUACAAGUAGUCAGAGCCCGUUAAUGGGUGAUGGCGUGCCUUUUGUAGAAUGAACCGGCGAGUUACGAUUUGAUGCAAGGUUAAGCAGUAAAUGUGGAGCCGUAGCGAAAGCGAGUCUGAAUAGGGCGUUUAGUAUUUGGUCGUAGACCCGAAACCAGGUGAUCUACCCUUGGUCAGGUUGAAGUUCAGGUAACACUGAAUGGAGGACCGAACCGACUUACGUUGAAAAGUGAGCGGAUGAACUGAGGGUAGCGGAGAAAUUCCAAUCGAACCUGGAGAUAGCUGGUUCUCUCCGAAAUAGCUUUAGGGCUAGCCUCAAGUGAUGAUUAUUGGAGGUAGAGCACUGUUUGGACGAGGGGCCCCUCUCGGGUUACCGAAUUCAGACAAACUCCGAAUGCCAAUUAAUUUAACUUGGGAGUCAGAACAUGGGUGAUAAGGUCCGUGUUCGAAAGGGAAACAGCCCAGACCACCAGCUAAGGUCCCAAAAUAUAUGUUAAGUGGAAAAGGAUGUGGCGUUGCCCAGACAACUAGGAUGUUGGCUUAGAAGCAGCCAUCAUUUAAAGAGUGCGUAAUAGCUCACUAGUCGAGUGACACUGCGCCGAAAAUGUACCGGGGCUAAACAUAUUACCGAAGCUGUGGAUUGUCCUUUGGACAAUGGUAGGAGAGCGUUCUAAGGGCGUUGAAGCAUGAUCGUAAGGACAUGUGGAGCGCUUAGAAGUGAGAAUGCCGGUGUGAGUAGCGAAAGACGGGUGAGAAUCCCGUCCACCGAUUGACUAAGGUUUCCAGAGGAAGGCUCGUCCGCUCUGGGUUAGUCGGGUCCUAAGCUGAGGCCGACAGGCGUAGGCGAUGGAUAACAGGUUGAUAUUCCUGUACCACCUAUAAUCGUUUUAAUCGAUGGGGGGACGCAGUAGGAUAGGCGAAGCGUGCGAUUGGAUUGCACGUCUAAGCAGUAAGGCUGAGUAUUAGGCAAAUCCGGUACUCGUUAAGGCUGAGCUGUGAUGGGGAGAAGACAUUGUGUCUUCGAGUCGUUGAUUUCACACUGCCGAGAAAAGCCUCUAGAUAGAAAAUAGGUGCCCGUACCGCAAACCGACACAGGUAGUCAAGAUGAGAAUUCUAAGGUGAGCGAGCGAACUCUCGUUAAGGAACUCGGCAAAAUGACCCCGUAACUUCGGGAGAAGGGGUGCUCUUUAGGGUUAACGCCCAGAAGAGCCGCAGUGAAUAGGCCCAAGCGACUGUUUAUCAAAAACACAGGUCUCUGCUAAACCGUAAGGUGAUGUAUAGGGGCUGACGCCUGCCCGGUGCUGGAAGGUUAAGAGGAGUGGUUAGCUUCUGCGAAGCUACGAAUCGAAGCCCCAGUAAACGGCGGCCGUAACUAUAACGGUCCUAAGGUAGCGAAAUUCCUUGUCGGGUAAGUUCCGACCCGCACGAAAGGCGUAACGAUUUGGGCACUGUCUCAACGAGAGACUCGGUGAAAUCAUAGUACCUGUGAAGAUGCAGGUUACCCGCGACAGGACGGAAAGACCCCGUGGAGCUUUACUGUAGCCUGAUAUUGAAAUUCGGCACAGCUUGUACAGGAUAGGUAGGAGCCUUUGAAACGUGAGCGCUAGCUUACGUGGAGGCGCUGGUGGGAUACUACCCUAGCUGUGUUGGCUUUCUAACCCGCACCACUUAUCGUGGUGGGAGACAGUGUCAGGCGGGCAGUUUGACUGGGGCGGUCGCCUCCUAAAAGGUAACGGAGGCGCUCAAAGGUU